rnacentral:rRNA from 1 species
GACGAACGCUGGCGGCGUGCUUAACACAUGCAAGUCGAGCGGUAAGGCUCCUUCGGGAGUACACGAGCGGCGAACGGGUGAGUAACACGUGAGCAAUCUGCCCUUCACUUUGGGAUAACUUCGAGAAAUCGGAGCUAAUACCGAAUGCGACCACUUCAGGCAUCUGAUGGUGGUGGAAAGUUCCGGCGGUGAAGGAUGAGCUCGCGGCCUAUCAGCUUGUUGGUGGGGUAAGUGGCCCGACCAAGGCUUCGACGGGUAGCCGGCCUGAGAGGGUGACCGGCCACACUGGGACUGAGACACUGCCCAGACACCUACGGGUGGCUGCAGUCGAGAAUCUUUGGCAAUGG